rnacentral:rRNA from 1 species
GUACACAAAAAUGCACAUGCUGUGAGCUCGAUGAGUAGGGCGGGACACGUGGUAUCCUGUCUGAAUAUGGGGGGACCAUCCUCCAAGGCUAAAUACUCCUGACUGACCGAUAGUGAACCAGUACCGUGAGGGAAAGGCGAAAAGAACCCCGGCGAGGGGAGUGAAAAAGAACCUGAAACCGUGUACGUACAAGCAGUGGGAGCACGCUUAGGCGUGUGACUGCGUACCUUUUGUAUAAUGGGUCAGCGACUUAUAUUCUGUAGCAAGGUUAACCGAAUAGGGGAGCCGAAGGGAAACCGAGUCUUAACUGGGCGUUAAGUUGCAGGGUAUAGACCCGAAACCCGGUGAUCUAGCCAUGGGCAGGUUGAAGGUUGGGUAACACUAACUGGAGGACCGAACCGACUAAUGUUGAAAAAUUAGCGGAUGACUUGUGGCUGGGGGUGAAAGGCCAAUCAAACCGGGAGAUAGCUGGUUCUCCCCGAAAGCUAUUUAGGUAGCGCCUCGUGAAUUCAUCUCCGGGGGUAGAGCACUGUUUCGGCAAGGGGGUCAUCCCGACUUACCAACCCGAUGCAAACUGCGAAUACCGGAGAAUGUUAUCACGGGAGACACACGGCGGGUGCUAACGUCCGUCGUGAAGAGGGAAACAACCCAGACCGCCAGCUAAGGUCCCAAAGUCAUGGUUAAGUGGGAAACGAUGUGGGAAGGCCCAGACAGCCAGGAUGUUGGCUUAGAAGCAGCCAUCAUUUAAAGAAAGCGUAAUAGCUCACUGGUCGAGUCGGCCUGCGCGGAAGAUGUAACGGGGCUAAACCAUGCACCGAAGCUGCGGCAGCGACGCUUAUGCGUUGUUGGGUAGGGGAGCGUUCUGUAAGCCUGCGAAGGUGUGCUGUGAGGCAUGCUGGAGGUAUCAGAAGUGCGAAUGCUGACAUAAGUAACGAUAAAGCGGGUGAAAAGCCCGCUCGCCGGAAGACCAAGGGUUCCUGUCCAACGUUAAUCGGGGCAGGGUGAGUCGACCCCUAAGGCGAGGCCGAAAGGCGUAGUCGAUGGGAAACAGGUUAAUAUUCCUGUACUUGGUGUUACUGCGAAGGGGGGACGGAGAAGGCUAUGUUGGCCGGGCGACGGUUGUCCCGGUUUAAGCGUGUAGGCUGGUUUUCCAGGCAAAUCCGGAAAAUCAAGGCUGAGGCGUGAUGACGAGGCACUACGGUGCUGAAGCAACAAAUGCCCUGCUUCCAGGAAAAGCCUCUAAGCAUCAGGUAACAUCAAAUCGUACCCCAAACCGACACAGGUGGUCAGGUAGAGAAUACCAAGGCGCUUGAGAGAACUCGGGUGAAGGAACUAGGCAAAAUGGUGCCGUAACUUCGGGAGAAGGCACGC